GACGAACGCUGGCGGCAUGCCUAACACAUGCAAGUCGAACGAGACCUUCGGGUCUAGUGGCGCACGGGUGCGUAACGCGUGGGAACCUGCCCUUAGGUUCGGAAUAACUCCCCGAAAGGGGUGCUAAUACCGGAUAAUGUCUUCGGACCAAAGAUUUAUCGCCUUUGGAUGGGCCCGCGUUGGAUUAGCUAGUUGGUAGGGUAAAAGCCUACCAAGGCGACGAUCCAUAGCUGGUCUGAGAGGAUGAUCAGCCACACUGGGACUGAGACACGGCCCAGACUCCUACGGGAGGCAGCAGUGGGGAAUAUUGGACAAUGGGCGAAAGCCUGAUCCAGCAAUGCCGCGUGAGUGAUGAAGGCCUUAGGGUUGUAAAGCUCUUUUACCCGGGAUGAUAAUGACAGUACCGGGAGAAUAAGCGCCGGCUAACUCCGUG
rnacentral:rRNA from 1 species